rnacentral:rRNA from 1 species
AGCCGCCGGUGUUACCGCGGCGGCUCGAGUGGUGGCCACUAUUAUUGGGCUUAAAGCGUUCGUAGCUGGUUUGUUAAGUCUCUGGGGAAAUCUUCCGGCUUAACCGGAAGGCGUCUCAGGGAUACUGGCAGACUAGGGACCGGGAGAGGUGAGAGGUACUCCAGGGGUAGGAGUGAAAUCCUGUAAUCCUUGGGGGACCACCUGUGGCGAAGGCGUCUCACCAGAACGGCUCCGACAGUGAGGGACGAAAGCUGGGGGAGCAAACCGGAUUAGAUACCCGGGUAGUCCCAGCUGUAAACGAUGCGCGUUAGGUGUAUCGGUGACCACGAGUCACCGAGGUGCCGAAGAGAAAUCGUGAAACGUGCCGCCUAGGAAGUACGGUCGCAAGGCUGAAACUUAAAGGAAU